rnacentral:lncRNA from 12 species
AGAGAGCAUCCAGCCUCAAACUGUAAAGGGCUACUCAAACGAAAGGUGAUAGUGUUAAUUCUUAUAAAUAGGACGCAUACCAAAGGGAGUGCUGGAAAAAUCCCUAGCAGGAAGCAAAGCCAACUUUCAAAGGGCUCUUCAGGGCCCUGGGCUCGCCGUCUCACCGCUCGAUGCACCCCUGGACCACGGGAAGGGGUAACAUUUUGUGACCGCGCGUGUUUCCAAUACCUGCUACUCACAGGCCGGGAGCUACAACGUCCCCAAGCCUUCGCCCACACUGCGCUCAGACGCCUGCCAUCCCCACCCCGGGCUGAGACCCCAGGAGGGCAAGGGCUCCGCGGGCCUUCCCACCUGGGCCGGGAGCAAACGCAAGGCCCCACCCUCGCCCGCUUCUCGGCGAGUGCACCGGGCAGCCCCGCACGCCCCGCGGCCGCAGCCAGCGGGCAGCCCCGGCCCCCCGCCCCCGCCCCCGCCGGCCCCGGGCCCGCGCACCUUGCUCUUCACCUCCAUGGUGCCCAGGCAGCCGCUGCCCGCCCCGUGCCGGUGGCUGCGGUUCAUGCUGAGGCCGGGCCCCGCGGCGGCCUCCUGCGGCCGGGCCGCCCCUCGGGAGCGCGGGGAGUCGCGGCCGGCGGGACGGGGCCGGGGACGCGGCUGCGGCCCGGGCGCCUCCGCACCGGCACCCGCAGAGCGGCGGCCGCGACUCGGCUUCUGGGCGCGGAGCUCCGCUCGGCCGGCUGCUCGCGGCGGCACCGAGGGUCCGACUGGCUGCGCGGCGGGCGGGGACGCGACUCCCUCCCUCCUGGUCUCGGAGGCGGCCGCGACGGCGGAGGGGGCGGAGCACAGGCGACGGGCGCCGCGAGCUCGCUCCCGGCCGCCUCCCCCGCCGGCCCGCGCGCGCGCACCCGAGCCCGGGAGGGAGCCGCGGCGCGCGCGCGCUCACCUGCAGCCUCGGCAGAAGCCUCGGCGGCUCGCGCUCCGCCCACACCCAAUAGGAAGCGCGCACCUGCGCCCGCGCCGCCAGCCAAUCGAAACCCGCCUCGCGAGCGUGUGGGCGGGCCGCCUCCGCGAAAAUCCCGCCUACCGCCUCGCGAUUGGUCCCGCGCUGCGAGGGAGGGGCGGGAUCACCUGAAGCCUUGGGCCCCCCUCCCCGGACCUAGCAGGAGAGCUGGAAGGCGCAUGCGCGGGCUCUGGUGUUUCCGCCUCGGGAAGGCCGGCCGGAAGCGCGAGCGCACCUGGAGAGGCGCUGGGGCGGGGGCGUUUUGCGCAAGCGCAGGCGCAGGCGCGCGCCCGAGGGCCGGGUCGGGCGAGGGCGCGCCGGGCUGGGGGUGGGACCGCGCUGCCCCGCGGGGCCCCGGGGCGCGGAGGUGCCGCUGGCUUCGCGCCCGCCCCCGCCGCAGUCCGCUUUGGGGGCUGCAGUUGCAGAGGCUCCCCUCCACCGCCCGGCUGGGUGCUUCGGGAGUCCGUCUGCAACUCUGGCUACGGAAUAAAAGUUCUCCCGCCUCUGCAACAGUUACUGGGGGAGAGCAUCGGGGCUCCGCGGGCUCGGUUUCGUCCGCGGGUCCCAGGGGGUCGAGAGGGCGCCGCGAGGGAGGGGAAGUGGGCGGAGGCCCAGGGUGCAUGGCCGCGCGCAGGACUUCGGAUCGGCCUCCCAGGGCUUGCGUUAGGCUCUGCUCGCGAAGUCUUCUCCCUCCUCCAGCCGUUUCUUCGCCGUUUGCUGUUUCCACCAACGGCAGCCUCUGGACAAUGUUCUUUUCUCCGUGGGGCGAUAGAACUCCGUCCUUGAUAAAAGACAACCCUCUGUUUUAA